rnacentral:lncRNA from 1 species
UAAUGAUGAUGGUAGUGAUAGCAGUUUAGUGAUGGUGGUGGUGGUAGAUGUAGUAAUGACGAUGGUAGUGAUACCAGUUUAGUGAUGGUGGUGGUGGUGGUAGUAAUGAUGAUGGUAGUUAUAGCAGUUUCGUGAUGGUGGUGGGGUAGAAGUAGUCAUGAUGAUAGUAGUGAUAGCAGUUUAGUGAUGGUGGUGGAAGGAAUAGUGAUGAUGAAAGAAGUGAUAGCAGUUUAUUCAUGGUUGUGGUAAUAGUAAUAGAAUGAUGACGGUAGUGAUAGCAGUUUAGUGAUGGUGGUGGGGGUAGUAGUAGUAGUAAUUUUGAUGGUAGUGAUAGCAGUUUAGUGAUGGUGGUGGUGGUAGUAUAAUGAUGAUGGUAGUGAAAGCAGUUUAGUGAUGGUGGUGGUGGUAGAUGUAGUAAUGAUGAUGUUAGUGAUACCAGUUUAGUGAUGGUGGUUGUGAUAGUAGUAGUAAUGAUCAUGGUAGUGAUAGCAGUUUAGUGAUGGUGGAGGUAGUAGUAGUAAUGAUGAUGGUAGUGAUAGCAGUUUAGUGAUGGUGAUGGUGGUAGUAGUAGUAAUGAUGAUGGUAUUGAUAGCAUUUUAGUGAUGGUGGAAGUGGUAGUAGUAAUGAUGAUGGUAGUGAUAGCAUUUUAGUGUUGGUAUUGGUAGUAGUAGUAAUGAUGAUGGUAGUGAUAGCAGUUUAUUGAUGGUGGUUGUAGUAGUAAUUAUGAUGGUAGUUAUAGCAGUUUAGUGAUGGUGGUGGGGGUAGAAGUCGUAAUGAUGAUAGUAGUGAUAGCAGUUUAGUGAUGGUGGUGGUAGUAGUAGCAAUGAUGAUGGUAGUGAUAGCAGUUUAGUGAUGGUGGUGGUGGUAGCAGAAAUGAUGAUGGUAUUGAUAACAGUUUAGUGAUGGUGGUAGUAGUAGUAAUUAUGAUGGUAGUGAUAACAGUUUAGUGAUGGCAGGAUGGUAGUAGUAGUAAUGAUGGUGGUAGUGAUAGCAGUUUAGUGAUGGUGGUGGUAGUAGUAGUAAUGAUGAAGCAAGUGAUAGCAGUUUAGUGAUGUGGUGGUAGUAGUAGUAAUGAUGAUGGUAGUGAUAGCAGUUUAGUGAUGGUGGUGGUAGUAGUAGUAGUAAUGAUGAUGGUAGUGAUAGUAGUUUAGUGACAGUGGUGGUAGUAGUAGUAAUGAUGAUGGCAGUGAUAGCAGUUUAGUG